GUGUACAGACCACAUUUUCAACACCUUUUUGCACUGAAGACAUCUCAUGAAUUCUUUUCUGACCAUUCACUCUUGGAUCCAAACUUCAAAUCACAUCAUUUGACAUCCAAUGUGGGACUCGAGUCUUCUCUUACAGGCCCAAGAGUCCUCACACUCUAAUGGUCCAUGUGGCUCUCAAGUACCACUUCUCUAUAAGGUAGAGGCAUGAAACAUGAAAAGAAACUGUGUCUUCAGUCAGUUGGCUGAACUGACAUAGCAAGCCAGGAGAUGGGAAAGAAAAAUAAAGAAAAAAGAAGGAUCCUGAAGCAGCGCUGGUACAUCUUCUGGGUUCUCUCAGCUCAUGACAGCUUUCAGAAGUGAGCUUCCUUACAAACUUGGAACCUGAAAUAUUCUUCAGUCCCUAAGGAUUCUUCCUUGGGAUGCUUUUUAACUCACUGGAAUCAAUUUGGA